rnacentral:rRNA from 1 species
AGUGGGGAAUAUUGCACAAUGGGCGAAAGCCUGAUGCAGCAACGCCGCGUGCGGGAUGACGGCCUUCGGGUUGUAAACCGCUUUCACCCAUGACGAAGCGAGAGUGACGGUAGUGGGAGAAGAAGCACCGGCCAACUACGUGCCAGCAGCCGCGGUGAUACGUAGGGUGCGAGCGUUGUCCGGAAUUAUUGGGCGUAAAGAGCUUGUAGGCGGUUGAUUGCGUCGAAAGUGAAAUCCCAGGGCUUAACUCUGGGCUUGCUUCCGAUACGGGUUGACUUGAGGAAGGUAGGGGAGAAUGGAAUUCCCGGUGGAGCGGUGGAAUGCGCAGAUAUCGGGAGGAACACCAGUGGCGAAGGCGGUUCUCUGGACCUUUCCUGACGCUGAGAAGCGAAAGCGUGGGGAGCAAACAGGCUUAGAUACCCUGGUAGUCCACGCCGUAAACGGUGGGUACUAGGUGUGGGUCUCAUUCCACGAGGUCCGUGCCGUAGCU